rnacentral:lncRNA from 2 species
GUGAGGAAAACGCUUAAGAACUUUUUCCUAGGAAGGAAUGAUCUAUACCUACUACAAGUUGACACUUCCAAGCUUUCAGAUGGCUUAGUUUAUGAGGCAGCUGAUGAUUCAAACUAUUUUCCUCAUUUCUAUGGCCCUGGUCGGAGUUUUGCACCUCUUCAACUAGACGCUGUUAUCAAGGAGGCAGAGAAAAUAGUUCUGGUAAACAAUGAUUUCACCUGCAGUCUACUUGAUGGAGCAGACCCCUUAUCGUGAUGUGUAAGGGUGACCUUUCCCUUGAUCUUUAUAAUGUUUUGAAAAAUUCGCUACAGGACGCUCAAAAGUUUGCAGUUAUUUGUAAAAAAAGCUGCAAAAAUGCAAAAAUAUUACUGCUCCAUAUCUAACAUCUCCAGGAAGUUGAACCUGGUAUAUUCCAAGGAUCAUAGUAAGGGCAGACAUAUUGUAUGCAUCAUAUAUAUAAACAUCAUUGCAUAUUCUUCAGUAGCCUUAACUGUAUGCCAAGAGACAAUCUUAUUUUUUGAUCACCCCACCAAAUUAAUGUGAAGAAUGAUAGCUGUAUAAUCUCUAAUUCCUGUUAAAAAGGGUGCAAACUUGAAGUAUUGAUUAGUUCUCAAAUGGUUCCAA